CGCAAACGGCGACCAAAUCCGAGUCCGGACGAGGGAGAACGGAGCAAAACAAGCGGACUGCGCAAGGAGCCCAGGGCCCCGCGGUCACCACCCGCGGCCGCGGGCAUGACCGCGGCUUCCUGGGCGUUUUCAUACAGAUUUCACCCGCGGUCCGGGCCGCGGCCGCGGGCCCGACCGCGGGCCUCUCCAAAAGCUCCCCCACGGUCCUACGCCGCGGUCACGGCCGUGACCGCGGGAGAAACACGGAAUUGAUGGUUUUGGUGGGGCCCAG
rnacentral:lncRNA from 1 species